rnacentral:rRNA from 1 species
ACAACUGGGAUUGCCCUAGUACGGCGAGUGAAGCGGCAACAGCUCAAAUUUGAAAUCUGGCCUCCUUUGGUGGUCUGAGUUGUAAUUUGCAGAGGGUGCUUUGGUGUUGUCAGCGGCCCAAGUUCCUUGGAACAGGACAUCGCAGAGGGUGAGAAUCCCGUCUAUGGUCGCCUGCCCUCACCGUGUAAAGCCCCUUCGACGAGUCGAGUUGUUUGGGAAUGCAGCUCUAAAUGGGAGGUAAAUUUCUUCUAAAGCUAAAUACUGGCCAGAGACCGAUAGCGCACAAGUAGAGUGAUCGAAAGAUGAAAAGCACUUUGGAAAGAGAGUCAAAUAGCACGUGAAAUUGUUGAAAGGGAAGCGCUUGCAGCCAGACUUGCUCGUAGUUGCUCAUCCGGACUUCUGCCCGGAGCACUCUUCUACGAACAGGCCAGCAUCAGUUCGGGUGGCUGGAUAAAGGCCUCUGUCAUGUAUCUCCCUUCGGGGUGACCUUAUAGGGGAGGUGUAAUGCAGUCAACCCGGACUGAGGUCCGCGCAUUUGCUAGGAUGCUGGCGUAAUGGCUGUAAGCGGCCCGUC